CGCAAGUUGCGCCCGAAGCCAUUAGGUCGAGGGCACGCCUGCCUGGGCGUCACGCAUCGCGUCGUCCCCUCCCCCCAACUUCCCUUGCGAGGGCGGGCGGAUCCGAGGGGACGGACAUUGGCCUCCCGUGCUCUUGCCGUGCGGAUGGCUUAAACGUGAU
rnacentral:rRNA from 1 species